CCUACGGGUGGCAGCAGUGGGGAAUAUUGCACAAUGGGCGCAAGCCUGAUGCAGCCAUGCCGCGUGUAUGAAGAAGGCCUUCGGGUUGUAAAGUACUUUCAGCGGGGAGGAAGGGAGUAAAGUUAAUACCUUUGCUCAUUGACGUUACCCGCCGAAGAAGCACCGGCUAACUCCGUGCCAGCAGCCGCGGUAAUACGGAGGGUGCAAGCGUUAAUCGGAAUUACUGGGCGUAAAGCGCACGCAGGCGGUUUGUUAAGUCAGAUGUGAAAUCCCAGGGCUCAACCUGGGAACUGCAUCUGAUACUGGCAAGCUUGAGUCUCGUAGAGGGGAGUAGAAUUCCAGGUGUAGCGGUGAAAUGCGUAGAUAUUAGGAGGAACACCAGUGGCGAAGGCGGCCUGCUGGACGACAACUGACGGUGAGGCGCGAAGGCGUGGGGAGCAAACAGGAUUAGAUACCCGGGUAGUC
rnacentral:rRNA from 1 species